UGGGGAAUAUUGCGCAAUGGGCGAAAGCCUGACGCAGCGACGCCGCGUGAGGGAUGAAGGUUUUCGGAUCGUAAACCUCUGUCAGAAGGGAAGAAACCGCACUGUGCUAAUCAGCAGUGCCUUGACGGUACCUUCAAAGGAAGCACCGGCUAACUCCGUGCCAGCAGCCGCGGUAAUACGGAGGGUGCAAGCGUUAAUCGGAAUUACUGGGCGUAAAGCGCACGUAGGCUGCUUUGUAAGUCAGGGGUGAAAUCCCACGGCUCAACCGUGGAACUGCCUUUGAUACUGCUUAGCUUGAAUCCGGGAGAGGGUGGCGGAAUUCCAGGUGUAGGAGUGAAAUCCGUAGAUAUCUGGAGGCACAUCAGUGGCGAAGGCGGCCACCUGGACCGGUAUUGACGCUGAGGUGCGAAAGCGUGGGGAGCAAACAGG
rnacentral:rRNA from 1 species